UACGUAGGGUGCAAGCGUUGUCCGGAAUUAUUGGGCGUAAAGAGCGUGUAGGCGGCCCGAUUAGUCCGCUGUGAAAGUCCAGGGCUCAACCCUGGAAUGCCGGUGGAUACUGUCGGGCUAGAGUCCGGAAGGGGCGAGUGGAAUUCCUGGUGUAGCGGUGAAAUGCGCAGAUAUCAGGAAGAACACCUAUGGCGAAGGCAGCUCUCUGGGACGGUACUGACGCUGAGACGCGAAAGCGUGGGGAGCGAACAGG
rnacentral:rRNA from 1 species